rnacentral:misc_RNA from 1 species
GUUUUAUUAGCGUAUAAGUAUGGAUCCUAGUAGUCCUGGACCUUUGAGUACUUUAACUCCUUGUCCUUGUGGGACUCAGACUUAUAAAUAUAAGACUAUUUUGCUAGUUCAAUUUGGAAAACCUUGUUGAAAAACCUCAUGCUAAAGACCAAUAAGGCAAUCAAACUAAACUAAGAAAUUUUAAGGCAUGUUUUUGCCUAGUCUUAGAAUGUCUAUAAAUUACUAAAAUACGACUUGUAAAGCUGAAGAAAACAUAUAGCUACUGCCAGAUUUCUUAAAUCAGUUUCAUAAGAUUGAACUUGAUUUGAUCUCCUUGUUGAUGUAAGUGCUUAAAAUUUUUUAACAACGUGGGUUGUUGUUGCUUAUUGGUAACAUAGUUACCUGAAACACGAGGCUGUGGUAUGGGGACGGGAGUGUGGUACGCUCCUUGGUUAUAUUCUAGAUACUUUAGGGUGGGUUGGUUCACUCAUUUGGGAUGUGUUAUUUUGGAAC